rnacentral:rRNA from 1 species
CCUACGGGUGGCAGCAGUGGGGAAUAUUGCACAAUGGGCGCAAGCCUGAUGCAGCCAUGCCGCGUGUGUGAAGAAGGCCUUCGGGUUGUAAAGCACUUUCAGCGGGGAGGAAGGCGUUAAGGUUAAUAACCUUGUCGAUUGACGUUACCCGCAGAAGAAGCACCGGCUAACUCCGUGCCAGCAGCCGCGGUAAUACGGAGGGUGCAAGCGUUAAUCGGAAUUACUGGGCGUAAAGCGCACGCAGGCGGUCUGUCAAGUCGGAUGUGAAAUCCCCGGGCUCAACCUGGGAACUGCAUUCGAAACUGGCAGGCUAGAGUCUUGUAGAGGGGGGUAGAAUUCCAGGUGUAGCGGUGAAAUGCGUAGAGAUCUGGAGGAAUAGCGGUGGCGAAGGCGGCCCCCUGGACAAAGACUGACGCUCAGGUGCGAAAGCGUGGGGAGCAAACAGGAUUAGAUACCCUUGUAGUC